rnacentral:lncRNA from 1 species
AUGGGAUCUCUGUCUGCCCCCCUCGCACCACGUGGAUCCGCCUUUUUUUUUUCUUUUUUUUUUUUUAAACCAUUUUUCCGCCCCCCCGUCCCUCCCCAAAUCCCUCUCCCCCUCCCCCCAAAUCCCACUGUUUUGAGCCCCCCAAUUCCAAACCUGAUUUUAGGGCGAGAGGUGCAGCAUAAAGAAAGCGGCGGCGCGGGGCCUUUGCACUAUUUUCGGUGGCGGUUCCUGUUGCAGGGAAAAAAAAAAAAAAGUUUUGGGACAGGCCCUGAGCUCGCGGAAUUCCGAUGGAAAAACCCCCAAAAUCCCAAAAAAAGCCUUGGAAGGAAGGAAAAAGGGUUCAACCCCCCCCCCCCCCAGGUGAAUUCCUUACUCACAGAAUUAUCCCGGGAGCACUUCCAGGGAAUUUCAGGGAUUUUUCAGCAUUUCCAUGGGAACGGGAUCCCUAAAAAAGGGAUUUCCCCCCAAAAGGCCGUCUGGGAUUUAUGGGGAGCCGGGAAUGGCGGGGCAGGCCGGGGCAGGCCGGCUGGAACCGGUCUGACCGGGAUACGGAAAAACGGGAAUAGCUGCGGCUCCCCGGAGCGGGAAUGGCUCACCCGGGAUAACCCCGGAGCGCCCGGGCUGGGACGGAGCCGGGGGCUGGGAACGGGGAUUUGGGACAGCCAUGGGAUUGGGAUAGCCGUGGGAUUGGGAUAUCCAUGGGAUUGGGAUAGCUGUGGGAUUGGGAUAGCCAUGGGAUUGAGAUAUCCAUGGGAUUGGGAUAUCCAUGGGAUUGGGAUAGCCGUGGGAUUGGGAUAGCUGUGGGAUUGGCAUAUCCAUGGGAUUGAGAUAUCCAUGGGAUUGGGAUAGCCAUGGGAUUGGGAUAUCCAUGGGAUUGGGAUAGCUGUGGGAUUGGGAUAGCCGUGGGUUUGGGAUAGCUGUGGGAUUGAGAUAUCCAUGGGAUUGGGAUAUCCAUGGGAUUGGGAUAGCUGUGGGAUUGGGAUAGCCGUGGGAUUGGCAUAUCCAUGGGAUUGAGAUAUCCAUGGGAUUGGGAUAGCCAUGGGAUUGGGAUAUCCAUGGGAUUGGGAUAUCCAUGGGAUUGGGAUAGCUGUGGGAUUGGGAUAGCCAUGGGAUUGAGAUAUCCAUGGGAUUGGGAUAUCCAUGGGAUUGAGAUAUCCAUGGGAUUGAGAUAUCCAUGGGAUUGGGAUAUCCAUGGGAUUGGGAUAUCCAUGGGAUUGGGAUAGCCGUGGGAUUGGGAUAGCCAUGGGAUUGGGNNNNNNNNNNUGGGAUUGGGAUAGCCAUGGGAUUGGGAUAGCCGUGGGAUUGGGAUAGCCGUGGGAUUGGGAUCUCUAUCCAUGGGAUUUGGGAUCUCUGGGAAUGGGGAUUUGGGAUAUCCAUGGGAUUGGGAUCUCCGGGAACAGGGAUUUGAGAUAGCCAUGGGAUUGGGAUAUCCGUGGGAUUUGAGAUGGCUGUGGGAUUGGGAUAGCCAUGGGAUUGGGAUUUUGGGGGAAGAGGAUUUGGGAUAUCCAUGGGAUUGGGAUCUCUGGGAUUCAGAGAUUUGGGAUAGCCAUGGGACUGGGAUCUCUGGGAUUCUGGGAUUUGCAUCCACAGGGGUGGGAACCCUCGGGAAAGGGGGAUUUGAGAUACCCAUGGGAUUGGGAUAUCGAUGGGAUUGGGAUCUCUGGGAUUCAGAGAUUUGGGAUAUCCAUGGGAUUGGCAUGUCCGGGAAAGGGGAUUUGGGAUAUCCACGGGAUUGGGAUCUCUGGGAUUCUGGGAUUUGCAUCCAUGGGGUUGGGAAUCCUCGGGAAAGGGGGAUUUGCAGCAGGACCCUGUGCAGAAAUCCCAGGAACAGAGAGACCUUGGGAACAGCCUGGGAAGGGGGGUGGGAUCGGGAUGGGGCUGGAGCGGGAUCUGUGGGAUUCAGGGAUUCAGGGAUGGGAUCUGUGGGAUCAGGGUGGGAUCCAUUGGAUCUGUGGAAAUCAGGGAUUGAGGGAUGGGAUCCAUGGGAUUCAGAGAUGGGAUCCAUUGGAUCUGUGGGAUUCUGGGAUGGGAUCCAUUAGACUGGGAUAGGAUCUGUGGGGUCUGUGAGAUUCAGGGAUGGGAUCUGUGGGAUUCAAGGAUGGAUCCAUGGGAUCUGUGGGAUUCAAGGAUGGGAUCCACACCAGGCCCUUCCCAGGCUCCUUUCCCAGCCAGGCCGCAGCUCCAGAGGUUUUCCAGGACCUGCAGAGGCUCCGGGUGACACAAACACGGGAUUUUCCCAGGGAUUUCCUUUGGGAUGGGGCGGAUCCAAGGCCUGGCUGGGAAUUGGGCGGGAAUGGAUUGGAAUUGCCUGGGAAUUUGGAGGGUUCUGCUGGGAAUUUGCUGGGAAUUUCUUUGGAAGGAGCAAGGGCUGAGCUGGGAUUCCAGAUCCACGCAACUUCCGAGCUGUGCCGAGGGAUUUGGGGCCGGAAAAGCAGGACCAGGGAUCGGGGAUUGGGAUCAGGGAUUGGGGAUCGGGGAUUGGGAUUGGGGAUUGGGAUCAGGGAUUGGGAUCAGGGAUUGGGGACUGGGAUCAGGAAUUGGGAACGGGGAUUGGGGAUCAGGGAUUGGGGAUUGGGGAUCAGGGAUCAGGCAUUGGGAUUGGGGAUCAGGGAUUUGGGAUCAGGGAUUUGGGAUCAGGGAUUGGGAUCAUUGAUUGGGAUCAUUGAUUGGGAUCAGGGAUUGGGAUCAGGGAUUGAGAUCAGGGAUUUGGGAUCAGGCCCAGCCCCGCCCCUCUCCCUCAUCCCACAGAUCCCAUAGAUCCACCCGGAUUCCCUCCAGGCUGGAAAUUCCCAGGGCACUCUAUGGGAGCCAUUCCAGAAAACCCCGUGGGAAAGGGGCUCGGGGAUUUCCAGGGAAUAGCGGAGGAAAGGGCGGCUCCAGGGCCAAAUUCCAGCUGUUCAAUGGCCCAAAAUCCUUGGGAAAAUUGGGAUAUUCCUUGGGAAAGCUGCUCCGAAACUUUCCAGGGAAUGCUGGAAGGAAAGGGCAUCCUUGGAGUGCCUCCAGCCCCAGAAUUCCAUGGAUUUCUGCCCAAAUCCCGGUGUUUAAUUCAAACACAUUGCCAAAAAUCCUCUGGAAAAGUUGGGAUGUUCCUUAGGAAAGGUGGGAAUGACGCCAGAAUUCCAUGGAUUUUUGUGAAAUUCCCAGUGUUUAAUCAGAGUAUAAUCCCAAACCCUCUGGAAAAGUUGGGAUAUUCUGUGGGAAUGAUGCCAUUGAAGCCCCAGAAUUCCAUGGAUUUUUAUGAAAAUCCCGGAUUUAAUUAGAGAACAAUCCCAAACCCUCUGGAACAACUGGAAUAUUCUUGGGAAAGGUGGGACUGAUGCCAGAAUUCCAUGGAUUUCUGUGACAAUCCCGGUGUUUAAAUCGGGAAUAAUCCCAAACCCCCUGGAAAAGUUGGGAUAUUCCUGGGAAAGGGAUCCAGCAGGGGGCAGCCUCCCACGCCGGGAUCCCGGGAAAAUCCAGGGAUUUUUCUGGGAAUGGGGAACAUUCCGUGUAAUUAUGACCAUCAAUUAUUAAUAAUUAUGAACACGGGUAAUUAAUAUUCAUGAUUAGCGUUAAUAAAUGUGCAAUAGAAAGUUCCGGACGGAGCA